AGAAUGUGCCUCUCAUGCUCUAGGAACUGACAGCGGAGCUCCUUGACCUUUGACAACAUACAUGGCUUUUUUCUAAGAAAAGAGUGUUUCCAUAGUAAACACAGGCAAGAGUGAAAGAAUUGGCUGAGUUCUAGGUCAACAAUGUAGAAUGUUUCAGAUUUGGGGAGGUGAAGUGUUAUAAAGAGCAAAGGCAUCUUCUGUCUCCCCCCAGAACUUCUAACGUUUGGAGCUAACAUUUACUAAAUGCCCAGGCUGUUCUGCAGAAGUCAGAGGAACAGGGAGGAGGUCCACGGAGUGUCAGCGGGGCACCCCUGCAGAGGCCAGGGAGCGCAGCCCCUGGUAAAGGGCCUUGUGAUUUCUUUUGCAUGGUUCAGUUGUGGUUCAAGGACAAAGCCUUCAUGUAUUGCUUACGUGACUGGGAACCACGUGGGGCAAAGGGAAGAAGCCACAGAGGCAGACAUAGUUGUUUUACAUUUGUUUCGUGUGUUUCGGGCUAGACUCAUCUAUUUAUGUGCCGUUCCUGUUAGAUCUCCUCAAACUUCAUUGCAACCUCAUGAGUCUAAAAUAGUUCCCAGAGCAUUUUUACUUGGUCAACUUUGCUUUUUGUAUAAUAAAGCUAUGCUCCUCCCAGCCAUGGUCAGUGCAGAUGUCUAUUUCAGCUACAGGCCCCAGUCCUUCCUGUUCAUUGCCAGCAUGGACGUCCCCUCUCCUGGACAGCCCCUCACUUGCCCUUCUGU
rnacentral:lncRNA from 1 species